GUGGGGAAUAUUGGGCAAUGGGCGAAAGCCUGACCCAGCAACGCCGCGUGAAGGAAGAAGGUCUUCGGAUCGUAAACUUCUAUCCUUGGUGAAGAUAAUGACGGUAGCCGAGAAGGAAGCCCCGGCUAACUACGUGCCAGCAGCCGCGGUAAUACGUAGGGGGCAAGCGUUGUCCGGAAUGAUUGGGCGUAAAGGGCGCGUAGGCGGCCUGGUAAGUCUGGAGUGAAAGUCCUGCUUUUAAGGUGGGAAUUGCUUUGGAGACUGUCGGGCUUGAGUGCAGGAGAGGUAAGUGGAAUUCCCGGUGUAGCGGUGAAAUGCGUAGAGAUCGGGAGGAACACCAGUGGCGAAGGCGACUUACUGGACUGUAACUGACGCUGAGGCGCGAAAGUGUGGGGAGCAAACAGGAUUAGAUACCCUGGUAGUCC
rnacentral:rRNA from 1 species